rnacentral:antisense_RNA from 1 species
CUUCACCGAACCCAGCCACAACGGCCGGUCAGCGUCACGCCCCUGACCGUAGGUCGCCAGCAACGCCUGCGCCUC